ensembl:lncRNA
ACUCCUAUCUGCAUUUUCUGUUUGGGACUCUUUUAAACUCUUAAUUGAACUAUCAUUCUACUUCCUGUCUCUCCCUCCAGUCCUGCCACAUUUAUAUACAUCUUUCAUUUGUCUCCAUGGUGAUGCAUCUAAGAUGUAAAUGUGACUGUCAUUCCCCUGAAUAAGGCAAUGGUUUCCUAUUACUUCCACUAUGCACUCUAACCUGGAUCCUGCCUGCUCUGUUCUUACCUCUCACCACUUUGGACGCAGCUACUAAAGUUCCAGGAAGAUUAAACAACAUGUGGUUCAGUCUCUGAAACAUAUUUCUUCCUACUCUAUUCCGUAUGGCUCAUGCUAUUUUCUCUGCCUAGUAUACCUUUCCACCACUUCUUCCCUAACUUUGACGAAACCUGCUUGAGUGUCAUCUUUCCCAGGGGGUUCUUCAAGGGAUGCUGCCACCUUAUGAAGAAGCCUGGACCGACCGCUUCCAGAAUGAGAGGCUACAUGGAGUCAAGAUACACCAUUCUGGCUGAGGCUUCUUCCACCAACCACUUGACAGAACACCACUUUCUAAUCAUAUCCAUGGGUCCACAUUGCUCUAGUCCUGCCUUGCAGAUGCCCUAUAGAUGGAUGAACUUGGAAUCUACUUUGGAGAGAGACGCAGUGUUUGAUAAAAGUCAGAAAGCAUGCUGGCAUACAUUUACAUUGGAUGAAAUACAAAUUCCAUUUAGC